rnacentral:misc_RNA from 1 species
UUCAGUGCAGCCUGAGCGCCC